rnacentral:rRNA from 1 species
UACGAGUGCCCCGAGCGUUAUCCGGAAUCAUUGGGCGUAAAGGGUGUGUAGGUGGUCGUGUUAGUCUUUCGUUAAAACCACGGGCUUAACCUGUGAUCGGCGUUAGAAACGGCACGACUAGAGGGUGCGAGGGGUGAAUAGAACUCAUGGAGUAGGGGUGAAAUCCGUUGAUAUCAUGGGGAAUACCAAAAGCGAAGGCAGUUCACUGGCGCAUUCCUGACACUGGAACACGAAAGCGUGGGUAGCGAAUGGG